GACGAACGCUGGCGGCGUGCCUAAUACAUGCAAGUAGAACGCUGAAGAGAGGAGCUUGCUCUUCUUGGAUGAGUUGCGAACGGGUGAGUAACGCGUAGGUAACCUGCCUUGUAGCGGGGGAUAACUAUUGGAAACGAUAGCUAAUACCGCAUAACAAUGGAUGACACAUGUCAUUUAUUUGAAAGGGGCAAUUGCUCCACCACAAGAUGGACCUGCGUUGUAUUAGCUAGUAGGUGAGGUAAUGGCUCACCUAGGCGACGAUACAUAGCCGACCUGAGAGGGUGAUCGGCCACACUGGGACUGAGACACGGCCCAGACUCCUACGGGAGGCAGCAGUAGGGAAUCUUCGGCAAUGGGGGCAACCCUGACCGAGCAACGCCGCGUGAGUGAAGAAGGUUUUCGGAUCGUAAAGCUCUGUUGUAAGUCAAGAACGGGUGCGAGAGUGGAAAGUUCACACUGUGACGGUAGCUUACCAGAAAGGGACGGCUAACUACGUG
rnacentral:rRNA from 1 species